rnacentral:rRNA from 1 species
CCUACGGGAGGCAGCAGUGGGGAAUAUUGCACAAUGGGGGAAACCCUGAUGCAGCGACGCCGCGUGAGUGAAGAAGUACUUCGUUACGUAAAGCUCUAUCAGCAGGGAAGAAACACUGACCUUACGGUCAGCAGACGGUACCUGAGUAAGAAGCCCCGGCUAACUACGUGCCAGCAGACGCGGUAAGACGUAGGGGGCAAGCGUUAUCCGGAUUUAAUGGGGGUAUAGGGAGCGUAGACGGUGCGCAAAGGCUGGAGUGAAAUGCCGCAGCUUAACUGCGGAACUGCUUUGGAAACUGGCGAACUAGAGUGCGGGAGAGGUAGGCGGAAUUCGUGGUGUAGCGGUGAAAUGCGUAGAUAUUA